UACGUAGGGCGCAAGCGUUAUCCGGAAUUAUUGGGCGUAAAGAGUUCGUAGGCGGUUUGUCGCGUCCGUUGUGAAAGCCCAGGGCUCAACCCUGGGUCUGCAGUGGAUACGGGCAGACUAGAGUCAGGUAGGGGAGAACGGAAUUCCUGGUGUAGCGGUGAAAUGCGCAGAUAUCAGGAGGAACACCAAUGGCGAAGGCAGCUCGCUGGAACGGUACUGACGCUGAGGCGCGAAAGCGUGGGGAGCAAACAGG
rnacentral:rRNA from 1 species